rnacentral:rRNA from 1 species
GAUGAACGCUGGCGGCGUGCCUAAUACAUGCAAGUCGAGCGAACAGAUGAGGAGCUUGCUCCUCUGACGUUAGCGGCGGACGGGUGAGUAACACGUGGAUAACCUACCUAUAAGACUGGGAUACCUUCGGGAAACCGGAGCUAAUACCGGAUAAUAUAUUGAACCGCAUGGUUCAAUAGUGAAAGACGGUUUUGCUGUCACUUAUAGAUGGAUCCGCGCCGCAUUAGCUAGUUGGUAAGGUAACGGCUUACCAAGGCAACGAUGCGUAGCCGACCUGAGAGGGUGAUCGGCCACACUGGAACUGAGACACGGUCCAGACUCCUACGGGAGGCAGCAGUAGGGAAUCUUCCGCAAUGGGCGAAAGCCUGACGGAGCAACGCCGCGUGAGUGAUGAAGGUCUUCGGAUCGUAAAACUCUGUUAUUAGGGAAGAACAAAUGUGUAAGUAACUAUGCACGUCUUGACGGUACCUAAUCAGAAAGCCACGGCUAACUACGUG